rnacentral:tRNA from 1 species
GUAACGGUCGUCUAGCGGUUAGAACGCUGGCCUUGUAAUCCUGGGGUCUCGGGUUCGAUUCCCGGCGGUGCCG